ensembl:lncRNA
CUGGAGCUGGAAGCGCAACGAGGAUCAGCCGAUGGAGCUGCACUUUUUACUCGUGCGUCUGUGCGGCGGGUGGCUAAGAGAUAAAUCUUCAGCUAACAACAAAGGCGAGAAACGGCGAGGGGAAGAGUAGGCGAUGGCGGCAGCAGAAAUCCCCGUGAAGAGCUGUGAGCGAAAUCGAUACAUGUUUCUCACUAGCGCGGGAGCUAAGGCGGGGCGGUCAGGGGCCACAACGCCUUAUGUACUGGGACCGCUUGUCGUCACCAUCUAUGGGCGGGGCCUCCGUCCUUACCGACCAAUCCGGACAGACCAAUCGACCCCUACUCCCCGCCACCUUGCAUCCGGUCGGGUCUGUCAGAGGCAUAGACUCCCAAUCCCAUCCUGCAACACGCCCUAUGGAACCUAAAGGUCGGGCGGUCGUUGCUGCGCUGCAUGCCGGGGGAUGUUGUUUCUGGGAGCGUGACACCCCCGUAGGAGUGCUCUCCCCUCCCCCUCAAACCAGCUUCUCUCCUUGUCUCGCCGGCUUCACCCACGUGACCCCGCCCUCGUCUCCGCCUCCUCUGGGUCUCUUCCCAGGGAGUGACGCCUGGGCAAUCACUAGGUAUACUUCUUCAAGACUCUUAGAUCCCAGAACAUAGGCAGUCUCAACUUUUUCCAAACUG